UACGUAGGGUGCAAGCGUUGUCCGGAAUUAUUGGGCGUAAAGAGCUCGUAGGCGGUCUGUCGCGUCGGAUGUGAAAAUCCAGGGCUCAACCCUGGACCUGCAUUCGAUACGGGCAGACUAGAGUUCGGCAGGGGAGACUGGAAUUCCUGGUGUAGCGGUGAAAUGCGUAGAUAUCGGAAGGAACAUCAGUGGCGAAGGCGACUUCCUGGACCAAUACUGACGCUCAGGUGCGAAAGCGUGGGGAGCAAACAGG
rnacentral:rRNA from 1 species